rnacentral:rRNA from 1 species
GAACGAACGCUGGCGGCGUGCAUAAUACAUGCAAGUGGAACGCAAACUUUUCAUCCGUUUCUUCGGAAACAUCUGAGAAGUUGAGUCGCGAACGGGUGAGUAACGCGUAGGUAACCUGCCUGAUAGCGGGGGAUAACUAUUGGAAACGAUAGCUAAUACCGCAUAAGAGCUUUAGUGGCAUCAUUGGAGCUUAAAAGGAGCAACUGCUUCACUAUUAGAUGGACCUGCGUUGUAUUAGCUAGUUGGUGGGGUAAAGGCCUACCAAGGCAACGAUACAUAGCCGACCUGAGAGGGUGAUCGGCCACACUGGGACUGAGACACGCCCAGA